UUUAGAUUGUACUAUUUAAGUGAAAUAUACUGCACUGAUCAUGUUAAGCAGAGACAACGAUAAAUGUUAUGUUUUAGCAAGGCAGAGGAGGAGGGGUCUAAUAAAAAUUCUGCCCAUCAACCGUUCCUCCUGCUUCUCAGUCCACACAGACACAUGACUCCAUGACCAUGUGUCUUGCUGCUGUGACAACGGGCUCUGCUACUACAUUAAAUGGCAGAGGAGGAGGGGUCUAAUAAAAAUUCUGCCCAUCAACCGUUCCUCCUGCUUCUCAGUCCACACAGACACAUGACUCCAUGACCAUGUGUCUUGCUGCUGUGACAACGGGCUCUGCUACUACAUUAAAUGGUUCUUCAUCUACAGUGGAUGUGGAAUAUUUAUAAGUUUAAAUCUUGUUUGUUCAUGUUUUAUCAAUAAUAAAAGGC